rnacentral:rRNA from 1 species
UCAAUAAUAAAUCUUAUAACAUAUAAUCAAUAAAAAUACUUACACAUAUAAAUAUCACUCUCACCUAAUACAAGUACUAAAAAGGAACAAAUAAUAACUUAAAGUAGCCUAAACCGCGUACCUUGUGCAUUAUGGUUUUACAAGCUAACAAUUAAAUAUAAUAUCCCGAAUUCUAUGCGAGCUGCUUAUAUAUUGAUAAGACCUAACUCCUAAUUGUGGCAUCAAUUUUAGAAAAUAUACUAGCAGAGGCUACAUACCACACGCGCUAGAAAAUUGCUGGUUUUCAGCAAAAUUUAUAAAUUAAAACAUGUAAUUAUAUUACAGUGUAAGAUUUAAGAGGAUAAGCCCUUAAAUCCAAAGCUAAAAACUAUUAAUUUAAAUUCAUAUAGGCCUAAAACCAGCCACCACCAAUACUUUAUCGUAUCACAUACACAAUAAAAUAAAAAUUUUGCUAAAAUAAGCUGAAAUUUAGGACAAACUAAACAUUCUACUAUAAUCUGUAAAAAUAAGUAUUAAUUAAUUAACAUACAAAUAAAAUAAACUAUCUAUAAAAUAACAGCUAAUACUUAUAAAGGGAACUCGGCAAAUAUUUAUUU